GAUGAACGCUAGCUACAGGCUUAACACAUGCAAGUCGAGGGGCAGCAUGGUCUUAGCUUGCUAAGGCCGAUGGCGACCGGCGCACGGGUGAGUAACACGUAUCCAACCUGCCGUCUACUCUUGGACAGCCUUCUGAAAGGAAGAUUAAUACAAGAUGGCAUCAUGAGUCCACAUGUUCACAUGAUUAAAGGUAUUCCGGUAGACGAUGGGGAUGCGUUCCAUUAGAUAGUAGGCGGGGUAACGGCCCACCUAGUCUUCGAUGGAUAGGGGUUCUGAGAGGAAGGUCCCCCACAUUGGAACUGAGACACGGUCCAAACUCCUACGGGAGGCAGCAGUGAGGAAUAUUGGUCAAUGGGCGAGAGCCUGAACCAGCCAAGUAGCGUGAAGGAUGACUGCCCUAUGGGUUGUAAACUUCUUUUAUAAAGGAAUAAAGUCGGGUAUGGAUACCCGUUUGCAUGUACUUUAUGAAUAAGGAUCGGCUAACUCCGUGCCAGCAGCUGCGGUAAUACGGAGGAUCCGAGCGUUAUCCGGAUUUAUUGGGUUUAAAGGGAGCGUAGAUGGAUGUUUAAGUCAGUUGUGAAAGUUUGCGGCUCAACCGUAAAAUUGCAGUUGAUACUGGAUAUCUUGAGUGCAGUUGAGGCAGGCGGAAUUCGUGGUGUAGCGGUGAAAUGCUUAGAUAUCACGAAGAACUCCGAUUGCGAAGGCAGCCUGCUAAGCUGCAACUGACAUUGAGGCUCGAAAGUGUGGGUAUCAAACAGGAUUAGAUACCCUGGUAGUCCACACGGUAAACGAUGAAUACUCGCUGUUUGCGAUAUACAGCAAGCGGCCAAGCGAAAGCGUUAAGUAUUCCACCUGGGGAGUACGCCGGCAACGGUGAAACUCAAAGGAAUUGACGGGGGCCCGCACAAGCGGAGGAACAUGUGGUUUAAUUCGAUGAUACGCGAGGAACCUUACCCGGGCUUAAAUUGCAGAUGAAUUACGGUGAAAGCCGUAAGCCGCAAGGCAUCUGUGAAGGUGCUGCAUGGUUGUCGUCAGCUCGUGCCGUGAGGUGUCGGCUUAAGUGCCAUAACGAGCGCAACCCUUGUUGUCAGUUACUAACAGGUUCCGCUGAGGACUCUGACAAGACUGCCAUCGUAAGAUGUGAGGAAGGUGGGGAUGACGUCAAAUCAGCACGGCCCUUACGUCCGGGGCUACACACGUGUUACAAUGGGGGGUACAGAGGGCCGCUACCACGCGAGUGGAUGCCAAUCCCAAAAACCUCUCUCAGUUCGGACUGGAGUCUGCAACCCGACUCCACGAAGCUGGAUUCGCUAGUAAUCGCGCAUCAGCCACGGCGCGGUGAAUACGUUCCCGGGCCU
rnacentral:rRNA from 1 species